AGAGUUUGAUCAUGGCUCAGAUUGAACGCUGGCGGCAUGCCUAACACAUGCAAGUCGAACGGUAACAGGCCUUCGGGCGCUGACGAGUGGCGGACGGGUGAGUAAUGCAUAGGAAUUUGCCUCGAAGUGGGGGAUAGCCCGGAGAAAUCCGGAUUAAUACCGCAUAUGUUCUACGGAACAAAGUGGGCCUCUGAUUUAAGCUCAUGCUUUGAGAUAAGCCUAUGUCGGAUUAGCUUGUUGGUAGGGUAAAAGCCUACCAAGGCGACGAUCCGUAGCUGGUUUGAGAGGAUGAUCAGCCACACUGGGACUGAGAUACGGCCCAGACUCCUACGGGAGGCAGCAGUGGGGAAUAUUGGACAAUGGGCGCAAGCCUGAUCCAGCAAUGCCGCGUGUGUGAAGAAGGCCUGCGGGUUGUAAAGCACUUUUAUCGGGAAAGAAAUCUUUGGGGUUAAUACCUCCAAGGCUUGACGGUACCCGAGGAAUAAGCACCGGCUAACUCAGUGCCAGCAGCCGCGGUAAUACUGAGGGUGCAAGCGUUAAUCGGAAUUACUGGGCGUAAAGCGAGUGUAGGCGGCUUCGUAAGUCGGAUGUGAAAGCCCUGGGCUUAACCUGGGAAUGCCACUCGAAACUGCGAAGCUAGAGUUUGAUAGAGGGAAGUGGAAUUCCAGGUGUAGCGGUGAAAUGCGUAGAUAUCUGGAGGAACAUCAGUGGCGAAGGCGGCUUCCUGGAUCAAAACUGACGCUGAGGCUCGAAAGCGUGGGGAGCAAACAGGAUUAGAUACCCUGGUAGUCCACGCCCUAAACGAUGUCAACUAGACGUUGGCCCCAUUUAAGGGGUUAGUGUCGAAGCUAACGCGUUAAGUUGACCGCCUGGGGAGUACGGUCGCAAGGCUAAAACUCAAAGGAAUUGACGG
rnacentral:rRNA from 1 species